rnacentral:rRNA from 1 species
AGAUGUUGAUCCUGGCUCAGAACGAACGCUGGCGGCGUGCUUAAUACAUGCAAGUCGUGCGAGAAAGUCCCUUCGGGGUGCGAGUAGAGCGGCAAACGGGUGAGUAACACGUAAGUAACCUACCUCUAAAUCUGGAAUAACUCUGCCAACGCGGAGCUAAUACCGGAUGUGGUCACGAUGCUGCAUGGUAUUGUGACUAAAGGUGACCUCUCCUUGGAAGUUACCGUUUAGAGAUGGGCUUGCGGACCAUUAGCUAGUUGGUGAGGUAACGGCUCACCAAGGCUACGAUGGAUAGCCGGCCUAAGAGGGUGAUCGGCCACAUUGGGACUGAGAUACGGCCCAGACUCCUACGGGAGGCAGCAGUAGGGAAUUUUGCGCAAUGGACGAAAGUCUGACGCAGCAACGCCGCGUGAGGGAUGACGGCCUUCGGGUUGUAAACCUCUGUUGAGUGGGAAGAAAAGCUUUGUGGUUAAUAUCCACAGAGUCUGACGGUACCACUCGAGGAAGCUCCGGCUAACUACGUGCCAGCAGCCGCGGUAAUACGUAGGGGGCUAGCGUUGUUCGGAAUCACUGGGCGUAAAGGGAGUGUAGGCGGACCGGUAAGUUAGGAGUUAAAUGUACGGGCUCAACCCGUGAUCUGCUUUUAAUACUGUCGGUCUUGAGUAUGGGAGAGGGAGAUGGAAUUCCAGGUGUAGCGGUGGAAUGCGUAGAUAUCUGGAAGAACACCAGUUGCGAAGGCGGUCUCCUGGACCAAUACUGACGCUGAUGCUCGAAAGCUGGGGGAGCGAACAGGAUUAGAUACCCUGGUAGUCCCAGCCGUAAACGAUGGACACUAGUUGCCGGAGGAGUCAAUCCCUUCGGUGACGAAGCUAACGCAUUAAGUGUCCCGCCUGGGGAGUACGCUCGCAAGGGUGAAACUCAAAGGAAUUUGACGGGGGGCCGCACAAGCGGUGGAGCAUGUGCUUUAAUUCGAUGCAACGCGAAGAACCUUA